rnacentral:rRNA from 1 species
AAAGGAAUAGACGGGGGCCCGCACAAGCAGUGGAGCAUGUGGUUUAAUUCGACGCUACGCGAAGAACCUUACCAGGGCUUGACAUCCUCUGCCGGUCGUAGAAAUACGAUUUUCUGGUUUUACCAGACAGGGAGACAGGUGCUGCAUGGUUGUCGUCAGCUCGUGUCGUGAGAUGUUGGGUUAAGUCCCGCAACGAGCGCAACCCCUGUUCUUUGUUGCCAGCGGUUGAAGCCGGGCACUCAAAGGAGACUGCCGGAGAUAAUUCGGAGGAAGGUGGGGAUGACGUCAAAUCAUCAUGGCCCUUAUGUCCUGGGCUACACACGUGCUACAAUGGCCUGUACAACGGGCAGCGACGGAGCGAUCCCGAGCCAAUCCCUGAAAGCAGGUCUCAGUUCGGAUUGCAGGCUGCAACUCGCCUGCAUGAAGUCGGAAUUGCUAGUAAUCGCGGAUCAGAAUGCCGCGGUGAAUACGUUCCCGGGCCUUGUACACACCGCCCGU